AGGGUGCAUGGACAAAGAGGUGCUUGAGGAACAGUGAUCAGAUAUGUGCCAGCUUCAGCUGUCCUAGCGUCCCCAUCCCUAGGUAGGCACUGGGAAGAAGAAAGGCGUCUGGAAGUCCCAUCCAAAUCCCCCCGCCGCCCCCACCUCGCCUCUCUGGCUUCACUGUGAAGCGGGUCAACUUUUUCCAAGGGCAGGAGAAUGUGGUUCCCUGUUGCUUGAGGGGCUCUGCAGGCCGAAGGGCCUUGCUACAUUGUCCAGGUUGGUCUCGAACUCCUGAGGUCAAGUGAUCCUCCUGCCUCAGCCUCCCAAGUAGCUGGGAUUACAGGUGCACACCACCACAUCUGGCCCUCGUUACCUUCUGCCUAGACUGUUUGAUGAUUUCUCUGCUGGCUCCCCGUCUCACACUGUUGCUAGGACGUUUCUAGACCACAGUUCCGGUGCAUUCACGGAUGCCCUCAAGAACCUUCAACGGCUCCCACCUCCAGCAGGAAAUGAACUCAAGUGUUCAGAGCUCUCCUGACUCCCUGACUCGCUCAUGCGUCUAUUCACGGUCUGCUGUGCGGCGUGUCAGCCAGUGGCCUGCCUCCCCUUCCAGCCGUAGCCCACACCACUCUGAUGUGAUGGGACACCCCGUGGCCAGCUUCCCUGUGCCCUGAGCUUCUUCCUGGCCCCGGGCCGGCGACGCUCCUCCACCCUGCUGCAACCUGCAGAAAUCCUUCCAGGGGCCUCGUUCUAUAAAUUCUGUCUACAUGUCCCCAAGCAGCAGUGCCCCCCACCUCCAAAUGCCCUUGAUGCUCUGGGCUUGCCACUCCAUUUAACAGUGUCCUUCUCGGCUGUUUUCUCCGAAGCGGCUGGAGGGCAGAGUCUGUGUCUCAUUUGCCUGAGAUUUCCUCCCCUGCUGAGCUCAGGGCCUGCAAAUAUUUGCUGGGUAGACAUGGAUGGACAGCCUGACCAGGACGCCUCCUGCUCCCAGCACUGCCCCUCCCCGUCUGGGGUCCUCCUUCCGAGUCAUCUGGAUACGCCAGCAAGCCUAGAUUCUCAUCUGCCUGCCGGACUCCCCGGACUUUUUCAGAGAUCAUUGCAAAGCUCACCGCCAUAAAGCCAAUCUGCAAACACUUUUCUUGCUUCUUUUUUUAACCUCAAUUAAACACACUAAAAUACAUAAAUGAGUAAAUAAAUAAAUAA
rnacentral:lncRNA from 1 species